CACAUGCAUGCAACAGUGGGAGACAAUAUUCUCUCUGUUAGGCUUUUUCAGAGCCUUCCUUCCACUGCCAUGGCCAGGUAUCAAUCAGGCAGCUGACAUAGGAUUCACUCACUUGGCUGAGAACCAACAGAAAAAGGGGCCCCCAUGUUGCCUCAGCUGUUAUGCGGAAAGUCCAGGAAUAUUUAAUGCCUGCGGAGGAAUCUGUGGAUGAGGCCACAAAGUCUGGUCAGGAUUUGAAGUUGACCAAAAGAACGUGUCCUAAGGUUGUUUUCCCUUGAGCUUAUUCCAGUGUAGCCAACACACAACACGAAGAAUAGUGAUGUCUGAUACACAGAGAAGAUACACACCGUAUGUGUCUCCCAGUUCCCGCUGCCACAUCUGCACGUAGCAUCUCCAGUACUCCAUGGUAAUAGGAUUCCUGGGAAUCUGUGGGAGUUCAGUGAGACGCAAAGCAAGUACAAGAAUGGUGUUAAACUGAAACAUUUAAAAACA